rnacentral:rRNA from 1 species
GACGAACGCUGGCGGCGUGCUUAACACAUGCAAGUCGAACGAAGAGCGAUGGAAGCUUGCUUCUCUCAAUCUUAGUGGCGAACGGGUGAGUAACGCGUAAUCAACCUGCCCUUCAGAGGGGGACAACAGUUGGAAACGACUGCUAAUACCGCAUACGAUCUAACCUCGGCAUCGAGGAUAGAUGAAAGGUGGCCUCUACAUGUAAGCUAUCACUGAAGGAGGGGAUUGCGUCUGAUUAGCUAGUUGGAGGGGUAACGGCCCACCAAGGCGAUGAUCAGUAGCCGGUCUGAGAGGAUGAACGGCCACAUUGGGACUGAGACACGGCCCAGACUCCUACGGGAGGCAGCAGUGGGGAAUCUUCCGCAAUGGACGAAAGUCUGACGGAGCAACGCCGCGUGAGUGAUGACGGCCUUCGGGUUGUAAAGCUCUGUUAAUCGGGACGAAAGGCCUUCUUGCGAAUAGUUAGAAGGAUUGACGGUACCGGAAGAGAAAGCCACGGCUAACUACGUG